rnacentral:rRNA from 1 species
UACGAAGGGGGCUAGCGUUGCUCGGAAUCACUGGGCGUAAAGGGUGCGUAGGCGGGUCUUUAAGUCAGGGGUGAAAUCCUGGAGCUCAACUCCAGAACUGCCUUUGAUACUGAAGAUCUUGAGUUCGGGAGAGGUGAGUGGAACUGCGAGUGUAGAGGUGAAAUUCGUAGAUAUUCGCAAGAACACCAGUGGCGAAGGCGGCUCACUGGCCCGAUACUGACGCUGAGGCACGAAAGCGUGGGGAGCGAACGAGGA